rnacentral:rRNA from 1 species
AUUGAACGCUGGCGGCAUGCUUUACACAUGCAAGUCGAACGGUAACAGGGAGCCUGCUCCGCUGACGAGUGGCGAACGGGUGAGUAAUAUAUCGGAACGUACCCAAGAGUGGGGGAUAACGUAGCGAAAGUUACGCUAAUACCGCAUACGAUCUAAGGAUGAAAGCAGGGGAUCUUCGGACCUUGUGCUCCUGGAGCGGCCGAUAUCUGAUUAGCUAGUUGGUGAGGUAAAGGCUCACCAAGGCGACGAUCAGUAGCUGGUCUGAGAGGACGACCAGCCACACUGGAACUGGGACACGGUCCAGACUCCUACGGGAGGCAGCAGUGGGGAAUUUUGGACAAUGGGCGCAAGCCUGAUUCAGCAAUGCCGCGUGAGUGAAGAAGGCCUUCGGGUUGUAAAGCUCUUUUGUCAGGGAAGAAACGGGAGUGGCUAAUAUCCAUUCCUAAUGACGGUACCUGAAGAAUAAGCACCGGCUAACUACGUGCCAGCAGCCGCCGUAAGAC